CAUCUGAAAAAAGCUGGGAAGCUCACUAGGAGGGUAAAGUUGAGCAAAGACUAAAGGAACAAGCCAUGUGGACUUGUGGGGGAGAACCUUCAGCCAGGAAGGAAUGACCAGUGC